GUUUGAUCAUGGCUCAGAUUGAACGCUGGCGGCAUGCCUUACACAUGCAAGUCGAACGGUAGAGGGGGCAACCCCUCGAGAGUGGCGAACGGGUGAGUAAUAUAUCGGAACGUGCCCAGUCGUGGGGGAUAACGUAGCGAAAGUUACGCUAAUACCGCAUACGAUCUAAGGAUGAAAGCGGGGGAUCGCAAGACCUCGCGCGAUUGGAGCGGCCGAUAUCAGAUUAGGUAGUUGGUGGGGUAAAAAGCCCACCAAGGCGACGAUCAGUAGCUGGUCUGAGAGGACGAUCAGCCACACUGGGACUGAGACACGGCCCAGACUCCUACGGGAGGCAGCAGUGGGGAAUUUUGGACAAUGGGGGCAACCCUGAUCCAGCAAUGCCGCGUGAGUGAAGAAGGCCUUCGGGUUGUAAAGCUCUUUUGUCAGGGAAGAAACAGCAGCUCUAACACAGUCUGCGAAUGACGGUACCUGAAGAAUAAGCACCGGCUAACUACGUG
rnacentral:rRNA from 1 species